ACCCUGGUGGUGGAGGUUGGUGAGAAGUCCCUGAAGGCGAUGCUGGAGCAGGACCUGAUAUUGUUUUUAGGGUGUUCGCAGGUCACCGUCAGGGAUCUCAAAGACCUCAAAGAUGGAAGCAAGAUGGAGCCUGGAGGUGCUGCAGAUUUAUCUGCAGCAUAGUAAAGGGUCCUCUGCUGCCCUGAGCCGCUGCCUGGGGAGACAGGAAAUGGAUGUGGCCCUGAUACAAGAACCCCUAUUUAUACAAAGGGGGUGUACUGGGCCUUGGGUGCACUGGAGGGACUUAGUGACCAUUAAAAUGCAGUAAUGUGAGGAAGGUAUCAAAAGGGAAAUUAUUUUGGCCUCAGCAUUCCUUCCUUAUGAAGACAGCUCUCCUCCUCCCUUGGAGGUGAGGAGACUGGUAGAGACUUGCCAUCGGCAAGGUGAUCAACUGCUGGUGGGAUGCGACGCCAAUGCCCACAACCUAGUGUGGGGAAGCAAGGACACCAACAGUAGAGGCUCCCAUACUGUAAAGGGCUUGAAGUUAUUGGAGAAGAUAAGGCUCGCCAAGGCACAGUGUGCAGCUCAGUUCACCACCAAAAAAGCAAGAUCAAUCAGAAGAAAGAAGCUUUUGCAGAAGGAAGCUGGCAAAGAUAGUGAUGCUGACUAUGCUGCUGGGUGUU